rnacentral:rRNA from 1 species
ACGGCUCAGUAACACGUAGCUAACCUACCCUUAAGUCAGAAAUAACCUCGGGAAACUGAGGGUAAUAUCUGAUAAGAGACAUACCCUGGAAUGAUUUGUCUCUCAAAUUCGUGCUUAAGGAUGGGGCUGCGGUGGAUAAGGUUGUUGGCGGGGUAAUAGCCCACCAAGCCGAAGAUCCAUAAGGGCUCUUAGCGGAGAGGCCCUGAGAGGGAAUCUGAGACACUAUUCCCAGCCCUACGGGGUGCAGCAGUUAGGCAUAAUCUACAAUGCGCGCAAGCGUGAUAGUUUGAGCCAGAGUGCUUUACAAUAGUAAAGCUUUUGUGAAAUCUAAAAAUUUUCACGAAUAAGGACUGGGUAAGACGAGUGCCAGCCGCCGCGGUAAUACUCGCGGUCCAAGUCGCAGCCAUUUUUAUUGGGUCUAAAACAUCCGUAGCUUGCUUGGUGAGUUUCUUGUGAAAUUUUGCAUCUCAAAUGUAAAGCGUGCAAGAAGUACUGCCAAGCUAGAGAUUGGAAGACGUAACGAGUACGUUCGGAGUAUCGGUAAAAUGAGUUAAUCCCGGACGGACUAACAAUAGCGAAGGCACGUUACGAGGACAGUUCUGACAGUAAGGGAUGAAGGCUAGGGGCGCAAAACGGAUUAGAUACCCGUGUAGUCCUAGCAGUAAACACUGCACACUAAACAUCGGUACCUCCUCGAGAGGUGUCGGUGCUGCAGGGAAGCCGAAGAGUGUGCUACCUGGGAAGUAUAGUCGCAAGGCCGAAACUUAAAGGAAUUGGCGGGGGAGCAC